rnacentral:lncRNA from 1 species
CCUCAUGGACUGUCUGUGGUUCUUUCUGCCCCUGCCGUGUUUUCGUUUACAUCCCCAGCUUGUCCAGAGCGACAUCUCACUGCAGCAGAAGCCUUAGGUAAUAAUACUUAUAUUCAUAAUAUAUAUUUGUACUAAAUUGUUUCCCUAGAGGUCUAGUAACAGUCAUCCUUAUUGAUAUACAGUGCUGUUAUAUGCAGAAAUUUCAUCUCUGUGACAAAAGUACUUCCAGCUUGACUCUACCAAAUACAUAAAGUUAGUUUAGGUUUCCUACUGUAGUAACACUAGAACAAUAAGAGAUGAUCCUUACUAGACCUCUAGGAAGAACAGUUUAGAACUGAUAGAGCUAUCCAGUAUAAAUAAGGUUAGUUUAGUUCAGGUUUCCUCUUGUAGUAACACUGGAUCAAUAAGAGAUGAUCUUUACUGGACGUCUAGGAAGGACAGCUUAGAACUGAUAGAGCUAUCCAGUAUAAAUAAAGUUAGUUUAGUUUAGUUUAGGUUUCCUCCUGUAGUAACACUGGAACAAUAAGAGAUGAUCCUUACUAGACCUCUAGGAAGAACAGCUUAGAACUGAUAGAGCUAUCCAGUAUAAAUAAGGUUAGUUUAGUUCAGGUUUCCUCCUGUAGUAACACUGGAUCAAUAAGAGAUGAUCUUUACUGGACGUCUAGGAAGAACAGCUUAGAACUGAUAGAGCUAUCCAGUAUAAAUAAAGUUAGUUUAGUUUAGGUUUCCUCCUGUAGUAACACUGGAUCAAUAAGAGAUGAUCCUUACUGGAUCUCUAGGAAGAACAGUUUAGAACUGAUAGAGCUAUCCAGUAUAAAUAAGGUUAGUUUAGUUCAGGUUUCCUCCUGUAGUAACACUGGAUCAUUCUCUGUUUCUUUAGGGGCGGAUGUAACAGGUGUACGCAAAGAUGACGCUGGGAGAUUAUUAUCAGAUUUCCUCACAAAGUUCAUGUACGACCUAGGAGUCGACGAUGGCCUGGUUGCCGUUGGUUACAGCAAUGAUGACGUGACCGACCUGGUUCGAGGCACGGUUCCUCAGCACAGAGUCACCAAGCUUGCCCCAGCCGGAGCCCCAGGUGAAGAGGAACUUGCGAAGCUCUUUGAAGCAUCCAUGAAAAUAUAUUGAUUUGGAGAACAGAGGUAUUUGAUUAUCUGAUUUUAAUUGUAAUUUUUAUGGUGAUUAUCAACACGCACGUUUCACUAAGCAGUAUCGUGCAGCAGAUGCUGGUCAGCCUGCAGUUAUCAGAGUGAGA